rnacentral:tRNA from 1 species
GGGCCGGUAGCUCAGCCUGGAAGAGCGCCGCCCUUGCAAGGCGGAGGACCCGGGUUCAAGUCCCGGCCGGUCCA